ACGAACGCUGGCGGCGUGCUUAACACAUGCAAGUCGAACGGUGAACAGGGAGCUUGCUUCCUGGGAUCAGUGGCGAACGGGUGAGUAACACGUGAGUAACCUGCCCUUGACUCUGGGAUAAGCGUUGGAAACGACGUCUAAUACCGGAUAUGAACCUCAACCGCAUGGUUAGGGGUUGGAAAGAUUUUUUGGUCAAGGAUGGACUCGCGGCCUAUCAGCUUGUUGGUGAGGUAAUGGCUCACCAAGGCGACGACGGGUAGCCG
rnacentral:rRNA from 1 species